rnacentral:rRNA from 1 species
CCUACGGGUGGCAGCAGUAGGGAAUAUUGCUCAAUGGGGGCAACCCUGAAGCAGCAACGCCGCGUGGAGGAUGAAGGUUUUCGGAUUGUAAACUCCUUUUGUUAGAGAAGAUAAUGACGGUAUCUAACGAAUAAGCACCGGCUAACUCCGUGCCAGCAGCCGCGGUAAUACGGGGGGUGCAAGCGUUACUCGGAAUCACUGGGCGUAAAGAGCGCGUAGGCGGGAUAGCAAGUCAGAUGUGAAAUCCUAUGGCUUAACCAUAGAACUGCAUUUGAAACUGUUAUUCUAGAGUAUGGGAGAGGUAGGUGGAAUUCGUGGUGUAGGGGUAAAAUGCGUAGAGAUCAAGAGGAAUACUGAUUGCGAAGGCGACCUGCUAGAACAUAACUGACGCUGAUGCGCGAAAGCGUGGGGAGCAAACAGGAUUAGAUACCCUAGUAGUC